GAUGAACGCUGGCGGCGUGCCUAAUACAUGCAAGUCGAGCGAACAGAUAAGGAGCUUGCUCCUUUUACGUUAGCGGCGGACGGGUGAGUAACACGUGGAUAACCUACCUAUAAGACUGGGAUAACUUCGGGAAACCGGAGCUAAUACCGGAUAACAUAUUGAACCGCAUGGUUCAAUAGUGAAAGGCGGCUUUGCUGUCACUUAUAGAUGGAUCCGCGCCGUAUUAGCUAGUUGGUAAGGUAACGGCUUACCAAGGCAACGAUACGUAGCCGACCUGAGAGGGUGAUCGGCCACACUGGAACUGAGACACGGUCCAGACUCCUACGGGAGGCAGCAGUAGGGAAUCUUCCGCAAAGGGCGAAAGCCUGACGGAGCAACGCCGCGUGAGUGAUGAAGGUCUUCGGAUCGUAAAACUCUGUUAGCAGGGAAGAACAAAUGUGUAAGUAACUGUGCACAUCUUGACGGUACCUGAUCAGAAAGCCACGGCUAACUACGUG
rnacentral:rRNA from 1 species